rnacentral:lncRNA from 1 species
CUAGAAGAAAGGAAGGGUAGAAACUGCUCCAGGGCUCUCAGGAAUGGAGGGCAAUACUGGGAACAGGUGGACAGAUGCACAAAAAACAGCCCCAAAGAGGUUUCCUGUUCAGCAGUCAUUUGACAAGGGGAAGAUCCAGGAGGCAGCUGAAGGGAGCAAGGAUUGGUCCCAAAGAGGCUGUCCACAUGGCCCAUCCUCUCCCCAGCUGUCCCACUGGGCAAAACCAAGAAGUGAAUCCCUGCAUGGAAGAGAUGAGAAGAGCGAGGUCACAGCAAUUUAGAGAAGAUGGUGUUGAUUGAGAUUUCCAGACAGGGAGCACGGGCUGCUCAGGAAGCAGCUAAUUAAGCAGGAGACUCCAAUUAAGAAGCAAUUUGGGUCUUUGCAGCAAGACCCAGCAGCCACCCAAGUGUAGCAGAGAAAACCACAGGCUCGGGUUCUUGCUCCCCACAUUAGCUGACUGUGAGAUCUCAGGCCAGCUAUUGAGCCUCCCUGGACAUCUGUUUUUUUUGACUAUGAAAUGAGGGGUCAUGCUGCUUAAUAUUGAAGGACCCUGCUGACUUCAAAGUGGGCAAUUCCAGGGAGUGGGAGGAUUCUUUCCCUCCAAUGCUGGAACAUUUUCCACUGCAUUCUAGUGUCUUUAUCACCCUCUUUGCAUUCCACUGAAGGCCAAUUAUUCUCUCAGUUGUAGUGGAUUUGAAUUCUAGUCUAUAAACUAAUUUGCGCA